rnacentral:rRNA from 1 species
GAUGAACGCUGGCGGCGUGCUUAACACAUGCAAGUCGAACGAAGCACCUUGAUUAGAUUCUUCGGAUGAAGAGCGUGGUGCCUGAGUGGCGGACGGGUGAGGAACGCGUGGGUAACCUGCCUCAUACAGGGGGAUAACAGGGAGGAAUGACUGCUAAUACCGCAUAAGAACACAGCACCGCAUGGUGCAGGGGUAAAAACUCCGGUGGUAUGAGAUGGACCCGCGUCUGAUUAGGUAGUUGGUGGGGUAACGGCCUACCAAGCCGACGAUCAGUAGCCGACCUGAGAGGGUGCCCGGCCACCUUGGGACUGAGACACGGCCCCAACUCCUACGGGACGCAGCCGUGGGGAAUAUUGCACAAUGGGGGAAACCCUGAUGCAGCGACGCCGCGUGAGCGAUGAAGUCUUUCGGUAUGUAAAGCUCUAUCAGCAGGGAAGACAAUGACGGUACCUGACUAAGAAGCACCGGCUAAAUACGUG